UACGUAGGUGGCGAGCGUUGUCCGGAUUUACUGGGCGUAAAGAGCGUGCAGGCGGCUGGUCAAGUCCGAUGUGAAAGCUCCCGGCUUAACUGGGAAAUUGCAUCGGAAACUGAUCGGCUGGAAGGUGGGAGAGGGUAGCGGAAUUCCCGGUGUAGUGGUGAAAUGCGUAGAUAUCGGGAGGAACACCAGUGGCGAAGGCGACUACCUGGCCUGUUCUUGACGCUGAGGCGCGAAAGCUAGGGGAGCAAACGGG
rnacentral:rRNA from 1 species